UACGGAGGGUGCAAGCGUUAUCCGGAUUCACUGGGUUUAAAGGGAGCGCAGGCGGAUUGGUAAGUCAGUGGUGAAAGGCUUAAGCUUAACUUGGGAACUGCCAUUGAUACUAUCAGUCUUGAAUGUUGUUGAGGUUUGCGGAAUGGGUCAUGUAGCGGUGAAAUGCAUAGAUAUGACCCGGAACACCUAUUGCGAAGGCAGCAGGCUAAACAAGUAUUGACGCUGAGGCUCGAAAGCGUGGGGAUCAAACAGG
rnacentral:rRNA from 1 species